UAUGUGGGGAAGUUGAUGGAAACCAUGAAUAUAGAAAACUGGAGAUACUCCUGGAAAGACAGAAAUUGGUUGGCUGUUUCCAGAAGACUUACCUACACAGGAAACAGACCUACAAGCCUCUGAUUUCAUCCUAAUAACGAUUCUGUGGAAUAAUGGUCUCAUUAUUCACAAUUUUGGAUGAGGCAGGAGGAUGCCACUGAAACGUAGGUUGAGUGAAUCAUUCUACAGAAUGAGAGAGUGGUCAAGCAGAUAUUUAUCAAGUGCCAGACACUACUGCCAACAUUGCCAGGAAGUAAAAAGCAGUCUGAGUGUGACGAAGAUAAGAAAGUAUAAACCCAGCUGCGAUAAAAAAGCAGAAUUUGAGCAUGUCAUAAGAGCAUACAAGAAUGGAUGACCAAAGAAGAAUAGAUUACACCAGACUGGAAGGGCUAGGAGAAGCUCCCUGCAGAAGUGACAUGUGAGGUGCCUCAACAGAACAAGGCGUGUGUAGCUCUGAAGAGAAUUCCCAACUCCCAUUAGCCCCGG